UAAUACUGUCUGGUAAUGUCGU
rnacentral:miRNA from 1 species